GGCAGGAAUGUUAAAGGCAACGAUAUGGGGAUGUUUGCUCAUGGUGGAACAGAUGUCCUAAGGAGUCUCAUGAAGACAACGAGCAGACUGGAAAUUCCAACGCUUCUGGGAGCUCUGGGCCAGGAACCUGAGACGCAAAGAUUAGUCUCUUUCAGGCAGACCUGGGACUCCCCUGCUCUCUCCUACGGCGUACAUCCCUCCACCGCUUGUAAGAAUACUGUUAUUGGUAUUUGGGGUCAGGACUUGGAUUGUUUUCAUCCCCAACACCUAACAUGGAAUCCAGCACAUUGUAGUUCAAUCAUCUUUGCUAAAUUAGCCUACCCUUUUAUCUGACCUUCCAUAAUGCUAUGGCAUAGCUCUUCUUUCUGCCUCAACACCAGUUCCUC